UCCAAGCGAGGGCGGCUGAGUGCAGUAGGGAGGCUGGUUUCAGAGACCUGAGCCCUCCCAGCUGCUGCACUUCCCCAGCAGGCAGUGAUGUGGACUGUUGAAGUCUCCUGAGCCAGAGCGAGGCUUCCAGAACCACCACGGGGGCAUUUCAGAUCCUGAGGCUGCCAAUGGCAGAGCAGGCCGAUCGGGUAGCUCUGGCAUGAGGCAGCGUGCACAGAACCCGGAGACACUCACGUGACAACUGUGGGGCUCCUUCCCAGGAUCAUCCCACCCCGAUUUGCCUUCCUUGAAGAAAAGUAACGCAAAAGAUGAACAAACAGAGCCUUGGGAACUUGGUGAUGCUCAGGUUGCACAGCUACUAAGGAUCAGGACUGCAGUCUCCACAUGCAUGACUCAGGGAGAGAAGAAAGGGGAAGGAGCAUGCGAGAGAAACAUUGAUGAGCGAGUGAAACAUUGAUCAGCUGCCUCCUGCACGCUUCCUACUGGAGAGUCGAGCUUGCAACCUGGGUAUGUGCCCUGACUGGGCAUCGAACCAGCUACCUUUUUGUGCCCGGGAUGAUGCUCAACGAACUGAGCCACACCGGCCAGCGCCCAUUCUGAACAUUUUGAUGUGUGUUCCCAGAUAUGACAGUGACAUCAAGACUGUUGUCAGGCUGACAGGGAUUGUAAAAAGCAUCUCAGUUUUAGAGGUGUUAAAAUGGGAAAAAGAAAGUGUACGUUUCAGGAUCAGCGAAUGCUGUAGCUACCGAAUAGGGUUGUGAAGAGGAUUAAGUGAGUUUGUGUUUGUAAAGGACUUAACCACAGGAACAGGCACGAAGUAUGUACUCAAUGUCAUCAUCAUCAUUGCUGUUACAUUCUGUUCUCGGAGAAGUAUUGCAUGGAUGUGUGAUUCCCUCGACUCUUCCUCCAGAAGUGCAGUGCUGAUGGACAUCUGUGUGCCCUGUGUGGGAGAAAGCCGGCCCCAUUUCCCUUUCCAUCUUCCUCUACCUGCUUUCCGAACUCUGUGCCUCUCCUUCCUGUCCCUUUUCCUUCUCCUCCUUCUUCCUGCCUCUCCUUUCCUCUCCUCCCCAGCUCCUCUGCAAAUAAAUGGCCCUGUCACUCCAGAUCUCUUGACAGUUUAGAGUGAAAGGAAGUGUCUUUUUGAAAAGCUGGUCUGUCUGACAUUCCUGCCCCGCUCAGGAGCAGGGGCCUUUGCACUCCUCUCUCUUGGCUCAAAGGCCUGCUCAUUUGGUUAAUGAGUUACAGGACUGCCACUGGGUGCUGAUCACUCCACCCACAGCAGAGGCGGCUGGGCUGUGCCUCUGGAGGAGGGGAGGAGGCCAGUGGCAGGUUCGGAGGGGUGUGUCGGUCCUGCCUCUGGUGGCCAUAGGCAGACUGGCUGAGGGCCUGCCUAAAAAGAAACCAUUUAUUCUCAAUUAGGAUUCUUUAAAAAGAAGUUCACAGCUUUUAUGAUGAGCCUUGUACAUGCAUUUAAUGACAUUAUAGUAUUCGAUUAUGUGCAUUAAGAAGAGGUCUGAGAGCUCCCUGGUGUCCUUAGUUUUAGUGUAUUUUAACUGCCUACAAUGAAAAGAACAAGACAAAAAAUGAGCCGUGGCAGCAUCUUCAUAAAUUCUGAGCUAUAAUUGAUACACCGUUGCUGGCACUCUGAAUGGUCCAGUCAGGUGGGCAUAAGGAAGAGGAAGCGGCAGUUUCUGAUUGCUUAUGGGCCUGGGCACCAAAGGAAAGCAAAGCCAGCCAUCCCAGGGUACUUUCUCUCUAGCAGGUGUCCAGGCCAGGAAUGAGCGCAGGCAGGAAUGGGACUACUGUCAACCCUGACAGUUGAGUUGAGGGUCCACUUUGAGUCCAGCACUGUGCUAGGCUCUUUUACACACAGUGCUGUGUCCAAUCGCAGUAGGUAAGGUGUUAUUAGCCCCAUUUUCCAGAUGAGGAAACUGAACCUCAGCAAAGGAAGGUGACAGCCGUGCUCCCAGUUUGCAGAUAUCAGAGCCAUUACCUAAAAGCAAGUCUUUCUGAUUCAAAGUCUUUGCACAGCCAUCGGGUACAGAGCUCAGAGUGGCUCUCGUCAGGGGGAUAGUUCAUGGAGAAGGAGGAGGGGAUAGUUGCUGAGGCCAAGGACGCCUAGGCCUUCUGGGAGAAGCUACUUCCUCCCGCUAUCUGGGUCCCCAGCCCCUUGGAGGCACGCAUUGCAGUAGAAACAGAAUCAGAACAGAAGGAGCCACUUGAAAUGAACUGUGCCCAGACAGGCCGCCAUGGUGGCGUGAUUGAUACUGGAGCAUGUAGGUGUAAUGAAACUGAUGCCGGCUCCUCUGCACCUGUGAUUUAUUGAGGACAAAUUUAAGAUGAGAAAGGGCCCCAUACCAGGAGCUGCAUCUUCCCCUCCAAGGGAGGGUGGUCAUCCAUCACCAGCCAUUGCAAGGGCCCAUUGCAAGCGGCUCAUCAGAUGAGCCAAUAGUCUCUUUGUUGGGGUUCCUAACAAGUGUUGGAUCAGCAAAAGUCUAUUUAUGCUGGUGGACCUUUCAGGACCAAUUUGUAGUGGGUCACUGAUUCUGCUGGGGUAUUAUCUUCUUUACUACUCGGGCCAGUUGGGGAACGCGGCAAAGAUUAAUGGUUUUGGCUGCUGACUUGCUGCCGCAAUCUACUGCUUCUGGACCAAAGAUUAAGUUUUUUUGUGUUUUACCAGAAAGGGCCCACCUAGUGUAUGAGAUGCGCUUUGAUUUACUGACUUGCUUAUGGGGAAAGGAGUCGUGGAAAUGUACUGGUCGUGGUGAGGAUUUGGCAGAUGGCUAUUAGGCUUGGCACCCACGCUCUCCACCUUAAGGCCCUGGGCAGGCGCCAUGGUGUGGGUUUUGGGGCCCAGGGGAGCUCUCCUGGAGCUCACAGGAUAGCAAGGCACUAUCUGGCACUGAGGAGCUGGCUCUUGAGUUCAGAGAGGCAGGCGGUGCCCUAAACUGUAUUAUUUAAAUCUAUGUUUCUAAACAAAAUUAGUUACGGCCUUUCCUUAUCAUUUGGAAAAUUGUACAUGUUCCUUCAAUACAUUUUGGAAAAAAUUAAAGCAGCAGAUAAAACCGCAUAUAAGCCAAUUGCACAGUGAUAUGACUGUUAAUAUUUUGGUUUACAUUUUCAUCCAGGAGGUUUGCUAUGCAUGUUAUUUUAUGUGAUUAAAACCAUGCUGGAUUUAUGUGGCCUUCUUUUGUUAUAUGGGUUUGUGGUCUGCUUUUUACAAUGAACAUUUUACUCUAAGCAUUUCCCUGUCUCCAUAUCAUUUGAUAAACCAUCUUUUUUUUUUCUUUCUCAAGAUGGGUUAGCUGCAGUGUUUCCAGUGCCAGUGGUCCAUUCUUUAAUUCAGCAAACACGUGCUGUGUGCCUUCUUGGGCCAGAUCCUGUGCUAGGAUCCCAGUGCUGAGUCAGACACGGUGGUCCUGAGUGGAGCGGCUGGAAUCAUUCACAGGAGCUGCUUCCCCCAUCUCUCAUGAUGGCCAGCAAGCCAUAGAUGGUGGGAGGCAGGGGACUGCCACUCACGACCCCUAGAAGGUCCCCGUAGAAUUGCAGCUCCAGAGGAGGGGUGAGCACCUGCUUCUGCAGGAGAGGAGGCUGCUGUUAGCUUUGGAUACUCCAGCUUGGUGUGUGUGUUUUUAGGGUAAAUUGGGAACUGGGAGCCCCAUCUUUCUCAAUGGGCGAUAGUGGUCCAGUCUUGGAAAACUGCAGCCUCCAAGGGACCAGCCACCCUAGGUGGCUGCAGGAAUUGCCAGGAAGUCAGUAAGAUAUGACAAAAAAGAGUAUGGCCUUUGCCUGGCCAGUGUGUCUCAGUGGUUGAGCGUUGACUUAUGAACCAGGAGGUCAUGGUUCGAUUCCUGGUGGGGGCACAUGCCCGGGUUGUGGGCUCGAU